rnacentral:pre_miRNA from 1 species
GUGAGUGUUUCUUUGGCAGUGUCUUAGCUGGUUGUUGUGAGCAAUAGUCGAAGAAGCAAUCAGCAAGUAUACUGCCCUAGAAGUGCUACAC